GAGAAAGCGAUGAAAAGAAAAGUACAUCUGAUUAAAGUACAAAGAGAGCUCCUGUAUGCUGAGAGGGAGUUAUGGAAAUGAGAUGGAAAAUGGUCUUUGAGCGGGAUAGACGAGACACAGUUAAGUCUAUCACGGGAGUGCCCGUUAUAGCACCUCAGUAUGCGCAAGUUGCAAGUACUGGUAGAGGUCGUGAUCGUAAGGUCAGGAUAAAUUUUAGGUGGUAACACGGAAGUCAAAAGCUUUCGUCCUAAGU
rnacentral:ncRNA from 1 species